CAAACAAGAUCCUCUGGGGCUUUUUACUUUCUGCCCCAGACGGACCAGACGAAAGAUGCCCUUUGUGGUCUCUUUGGACCAACAAGACUCUGUGAUCAUAGAGGAAUGUGAGCAUGAAUGCCAGGUUCCCACCAAGUGCUGGGUCUUCUUCCUGCAAACUUUCUGCACUCCUAACUCCACCGCAGCAUCUGCCUUCUGGAGAACACAGCUGUCACACCUGUGUUAAGCUCCAAAGCGCUGGAGGUACCUAGUGCCUGGAUGAAACUAGAGACAUGGAGAUAUUGCACCCAAUAGGACAAGGAUGAAUCCAGCCCACAGGCCACCAGAGAGGAGGAAUACAGCUAAGUGGCUGAGGGCAUGGAUGCUAGCAGCUGGCACCAGCGCUAACCAAGGGCUUAUCAGGACAAGGGAGGCAGCUCCCCUCCAUGCCAGCCAACUGCACUUAGGUGACGAUGCUGAGGAUUUCUGCAGUCUAAGUUACUCUGAAGCUUGGGCAAAUUGUUUUACUGCCUUCAGCCUUAGUUACCCCAUAUAUAAAAUGGGAUAAGUGACACGUGUUGUUAAAGUUCACCUUUCAUCGGACCCCAAAAUGAUUCUAGAGAUAGAGAGCAGA
rnacentral:lncRNA from 1 species